rnacentral:rRNA from 1 species
GGAAGUAAAGUCGUAACAAGGUUUCCGUAGGUGAACCUGCGGAAGGAUCAUUACAGUAGUCGCCCGGGCUGCCGCAAGGCCUCCCGGGUAACCUACCACCCUUUGUUUAUUACACUUUGUUGCUUUGGCAAGCCUGCCCUCGGGCUGCUGGCUCCGGCCGGCGAGCGCUUGCCAGAGGACCUAAACUCUGUUUGUCUAUACUGUCUGAGUACUAUAUAAUAGUUAAAACUUUCAACAACGGAUCUCUUGGUUCUGGCAUCGAUGAAGAACGCAGCGAAAUGCGAUAAGUAAUGUGAAUUGCAGAAUUCAGUGAAUCAUCGAAUCUUUGAACGCACAUUGCGCCCCCUGGUAUUCCGGGGGGCAUGCCUGUCCGAGCGUCAUUACAACCCUCAAGCUCAGCUUGGUGUUGGGCCCCGCCGCCCCGGCGGGCCCUAAAGUCAGUGGCGGUGCCGUCCGGCUCCGAGCGUAGUAAUUCUUCUCGCUCUGGAGGCCCGGUCGUGUGCUCGCCAGCAACCCCCAAUUUUUUUCAGGUUGACCUCGGAUCAGGUAGGGAUACCCGCUGAACUUAAGCA